ACUGGCUCAAUAGGAAACAAGCGUGUGAUCACAAACCCCCUUCAACUGUCACGCUGCUGUGUCACUAUGAUUCACUGAAAUUUAGUCACUUCCUUAGUGAAACAGAAAACUAAAUUUAUCUUAGCUUUGCUGUCUUUAAUACACGAUUCGUAGAUACCUUUAAAGACUAUUCUUGAUCAUUUUAUUGAACACCUUUUGCACGGCCACUUUGCAGUGAACCUUCCACUUUUAUACAUCAGUGUGUUUGGGAGGGCUACUGCACAUGUUGGACAACAUGCAUGGAUCUUUUUGGAGAAGUCUGAGUGAGUAGAUAUGGAGGCUUCUCCACCGGACAAUGUCAGACCGUGGAGUGCUGCGACAAUUUCAUCAUUGGUUGUGGUGAACAUUAUCUGGUGGAUGGUUAUGAUUGCAGCCAUUGGAAUGGGGGCCAUAAAUAUGAGUCAUUGUCCAGUGCAGCCCAACAUCCCCAUCUACUUGAUAGUGUUGGGAACAGUCAGCCUGGUCUCGUUUUCUUUGACCUACACCAAGAGCACCUGGAAAUCUGGCGCUGUCUUCAUUGUGAGCUCAGUCUGCGUGGGCCUCUUGCACUUCUUUACCUUCUGCUGGUUCAUUGCAGGAACUGUCUGGGUUUUUUCUGUGUAUCCUCCCAGCUACAAUCAAGGAGACCGACGAUACUGCCAUAAGACAUCCUUCCUGUUUGCCUUUUUUCUCAUCACCCUGGUGUGGGCUGCUGUGGGUCUCUUGUUCUUCUGUGGAUGUUGCUUCAGCGUAGUGACUUGCUGUAAGACUGUGAGGGCAAGACGCCGCCUCAUACCAAACCGCUAUAGCUUCUAUGGUGCAACAGGUUAUCCUUAUGAUCCUAUUGUUAGCAAUGCAUGAUUUAAAUCCUUGAUGGUAUCGUCACAAAUGUGGCAGUAGUUGCCCUAAUUCCACUCCUGUCACGGAUGAUUCUCUCUUCUUUUUGUUUCUUGUUAUUUGUUAAUUUGUUACAAUAACAAACCACAUAUGAGAGUUGUGUCCAGCUAUAAGACUGAAGCUGUAGCACAAGACACGUCAUGUACUUCCUGCUAUCAACGCUAAGUGUAAACAUUCAUGUAGUGUUAAUAUUGCAUGCGUAUUUACUUUUUAAAUAAAUGCUUUCAAUGGUAUUGUGACAGCGGAUUUUUAGGUAUUGCAACACAUAAAUUUGAUAGCAUCUGUUACACUAUAUGUGUAAACGUAAACUAUAUUCUAUUGCGCUGGUCUUAUUACACAUUUUCAUUUUACACCAUUUCAUUUAAAUCUUAAAUUAUAUGCUAUGGCCUGUUUUUAUUUUUGAUGUGAUGUUAUGAUGAUGAUUGAUGUUAUUUUGAUGUUGGAUACUGUCUAUAGCUACUAUGAAUAAUAAUCUCUUAAUAAUUUUUCUAAUGGCCUGUUUUUGUACAAGAAAGUGGUGAUAGACAAAUAACUGUAAAAGAAGAGAAGAACAAAAAAAAAUGUUCUUUUGUAUUGAUUUUGAAUUUUCCUGUGUUAUGAAAUUAAAUAACUGAUGAUUUCUUCAGGACUACUAUUUUGUCAGCGG
ensembl:lncRNA